ACUACCAACGUAUAAGUACUCCAAUCUGUAUUUAAAACUAAGCCAAUUUAUCUUAAAUUUGAAAGUUUUUAUAAAAAAAAGUUAAACCAUCAAUAAUUUGAGACAAAAAACUAAAAUGUCAAAAAUAAUUUUAUUAUUGGCAAUAUUCGCUUUAUGUAGUUUCUAUGCUUAUGGAGCCAAUGAAUGUCGCGGCGUUUGGUGUCAUCCUUCUGAAGGCUUUUCUUGCGAAUGCCCGGGUUAUGAAUGUAAUAACCGCUGGGGGAAAGGAAUUUGCCUGACCCACGAUGAAAUACUAAAAGAGAAAGAUUAAUAAAAAUCGAUUGAAUAAUAACUAAAAUUUUACUAUGACUAAAUGGCACUCUAUGGAUUUUGUAAUAUGACCUUAUAAUUGCGCUAAUAAAUAUCAUA